AUUUUGUUACGGUUUAUUUAUUUUUGAGACAGAAAGAGACAGAGCUUGAGUGGGGGAGGGGCAGAGAAAGAGAGGGAGACACAGAAUCCAAAGCAGGCUCCAGGCUCUGAGCUGUUGGCACAGAGCCCAACGCGGGGCUUGAACCCACAAACCGCGAGAUCAUAACCUGAGCUGAAGUUGGCUGCUUAACCAAUGAGCCACCCAGGCUCCCCUAAUUGUUGUAUUUCUGUAGUGUUCGUUGUGAUCUCUCCUUUUUCAUUCUUCAUGUUAUCUAUCUGGGUCCUUUCUCUUUUCUUUUUGAUCAGUCUGGCUAGGGGGUUAUCAAUUUCAUUAAUUCUUUUGAAGAACUAGCUCUUAGUUUUGUUGAUCUAUCCUACUGGGAUUUUUUGUUUCUGUAUCAUUUAUUUCUGCUCUAGUCUUAAUUAUUUCCCUUUUUCUUCUGGCUUUAGGCUUUAUUUGUUCCUUUUCUAGCUCCUUUAGGUACAAGAUUAGGUUGUUUAUUUGAGACCUUUCUUGCCUCUUGAGGUAGGCCCGUAUUGCAAUAUACUUCCAUUUUAGGAAUGCCUUUGCUGUAUCCCAAAGGUUUCAUUUGAACUGUCGUGUGUUCAUUUUCAUUUGCUUCCAUGUACUUUUUUUAUUUCAUCUUUAAUUUCCUUUUAACCCAUUCAUUCUUUAGUAGGAUGUUCUUUAAGGUCAAUGUAUUUGUGGUCUUUCCAAAAUUUUUUUUUUUGUGGUUAACUUCAAGUUUCAUAGUGUUGUGAUCUGAAAAUAUGCAUGGUAUGAUCUCCACUUUUUUGUACUUGUUGAGGGCUGAAGUGUAACCCAGUUGAUGAAUAUUUGGGUUGCUUCUAGUUUUUGGCUACUAUGAAUAAUGCUGCCUAAGAAAGCAUGUCAUUUGGUGCAUAAAUCCAUGCAUUUCUGUUGAGUAUAUACCUAGGGAGUUAGAUAUUCAUGUCAUAGGAUGUAUGUAUGUUUUUAGGUUUGGUAGGUAACAUUGAACAGGUUUUUAAAAAUUUUUAUGCCGUAUAUACCCCCAUUAACAAGAACGAAGCAUUGCAGUUGCUCCAUGUCAUUACCAGCAUGUGAUGUGAUCAGUCUUUUAUAUUUUAACCAGUGGUUGAUAUGCUGAUAAAGUUUUAACAACUGCCCCUCUCCUAGAAGUCCUAGGUGGUAGCACUUGCCAACUAUUGUGGUAUAAAUACUCCCACCAGAGCCGAUUUUAAGCUACCAACAUGAUGUCCUUGAGACAGAAUUGGACAGAAGUGUGCAAAAUGAGCUCUCACCAGUUGGUAUGAGCAGCGACAGCCACCUGAUUGUAGCCAUUUGAUGCCUUUUGACAGCCAUCAAAGUCUAAGACAGGAGAGGAUAGUGGGAAAUAAAAUGUUGGUCAUUGAGCAUAUAGUUAAAAGUAUCAGCAAGGAUUUACAGUGAAUAUAGGAUCUCAGUUGGAGGCCAAGACAGGGAAACUGCCACACAUGCUUUGAAUGGCAGGGAAGGUGGUGCCUUAGAAAUAAUUACCUGUGUACCCUGGUUGGGCCCUUGUAUGCUCCACCCAUGCUCUUCAGCCUACGGAGAGGUUCCUCAUCUGUAAAAUGGGUUGAUUGAGUUGUACUCUCUGGGACCUCCUUCUGACUCUGAUAUCCUGAACAUUGUCCUCAGACUGAGGAUCACAGGCAAAGUAAGAAAACAAUUUUUCCAGGGAAAAUUUGGAUUGAAUAACAAAGUUAGAGAAAUCACUUGUGAAACAUUCAGUAAGAGUCCAUAUGCAGGAAAAGAUAGAGAAUCUUUGUGCCAGACCUGCUCAGGGUUAAAAAUUCAAGUUUAUACUUACUGAGAUAAUGAGCUCUGUUACUCAUCACCUUGGUUAAAUAGCCAUCCACAGUUUAAAAAAUGCAGCUUGAAGACAGGUCUGUCUGUUUAAAAGUUCAUUGUGUCAAGGAAGAUUGGGCAAGGAUGUUUAGACUGAAUAUAAAUUCUUUUGGGGAGCACUUGGGAAUAAGAUACCUGUUUUAGCAAAUGCCCUUCAACUGUGCUCACCUUGGUUCCUUCAGGAAGAAAAACUGUCACUGCUUAUUUCAUGCAAAUGCUAUUUAAUAUUUGGGUAGAAGUAGAGAACUAAGUUUAGGAAUUCUAGUAUAAAAAGUAAAAACUCCAGCGUGUGUGAUUCAGAACAGGGAAACUUCUCCUAAGGACCAUACACCUCAGCCAAAGACCUUGGCCUUGGUAUUGAGGUGGUUCCUGAAGCUUCCAGAUAAACCAUGUUUCUACUAACUGAAAUUGUUUAUGCCAGGGCAGCCUUUCAGUAAAGUCAAAUCAUGCAACUUUUUAAUCUGUCUGUAUCUUGUUAUUUCAUUGGAAUUAAAUUCCUUGAAGAAUAGUAGAUAUAGAGUGAAACUAAUGAAAGAUACAAUCCUGUGCUUCAUGGUGUACAGUCUGAAAAUAAAUAGAUUAGACUGUGGACCAUUAGCCCUGUGUCCCAACUUCAUGGUCUUAUGUGGAUGCUGGUGAGGCCAGAGCGCUGGUCUGCCAGGGCAACUUAUUUAUUUUUGAAGGAGAGAGAGACAGAGCAUGAGCAGUUGGAGGAGCAGAGAGGGAGACAUAGAAUUUGAAGCAGGCUCCAGGCUCUAAGCUGUCAGCACAGAGCCCGAUGCGGGGCUCGAACUCACGAACUGUGAGAUCAUGACCUGAGCCGAAGUCAGAUGCUUAACCAACUGAGCCACCCAGGUGUCUCUGCCAGGACAACUUAGCAUCGCUGUUUUCCUGUUCAAAUUCUGUAUGCGAAAUCAUGCUGGUCAGCAAACGGAGGUGAGAGUGUCUUGUGAGAUAGAUGAGUGUGGCUUUGUUCCCACUGCCAGACAGGGUUUCCUCUUACAUCUUCCAUGCCAGCCAGAGGUUGCUGCCUGGGGUACUCUUUUAAGGAUCCUAAGGUCUGGUCUCAGCAGAGAGCAUGCUUGCAGGUAGAGCAAGGGCACCACCAUUCACACCCCUGCUCCAGGUGUCAGGAUGGUGAGGGCAUACUACCAUUAUGACACUGUGCUGUACUGAUUGACUCUGGUUAUAUGUAAAGAAUACUGUAUUCACUUUUAAAGUGAAUUUGAGUUAACUGAUUUCUCUUCAAUAUAGAAUUUCCAAAGUUGAAGCAAUCUUUGAGAUCAUCUGAUUUUAUGUCCUUAUUUUACACCAGAGGAACUGAGGCCCAGACAGCUAGUAGCAGUCAGGCUGAGGUACUUGGCCCUUUUGACUAGACUAUGCUGCUGCCUCAGACAGGGUGGUUGGUUUGUAUUCUUAAAUGAGGGCAUGUGUAUAUUCCAUCCAUCACUCCUGAUUCCACACUUGAGAGCAGAGAACAUUUCUUUUAUAUCUCUUUGUAUUCCACUGGAUUGUCUAGGAUUUCCAUAGAGUGGCUAUCGAGUAAUUGCUUAUUCCUUCAAAAAGCUUUUUAUCAACAAAACCUAUAAUAUGAUGCCAUUCCCACCCCCCAUCACAUUGGAAAAAAAAUUGAUAACAUGUUGUAUUGCCUAGGGAUGGAGGAACAGGCACUUUUAUACAUUACUCAUAGGACUAAGUUGGUGUCACUUCUGUGUAUGUCAGUUUAGCAAUAUCUGUCAGAAUUAAACAAAGACAUGUUCAUGACCCAGAGGUUCCAGUUCUAGGAAUUUAUUCUUCAGAGGUGGUUCACCGCAGCAUUGUUUAUAGUAGCAGAAGAUCAGAAACAAUGUAAGUGUCCAUUGACAGGGGACUGAUCAAAUGAAUUAUCACACAAUCAUAAAAUGGGGCAAUAGGUGCCUCUGAGGAGGGAGUGACGUGGCAGAAUUGUGGCUGAGCUAGGCUGAGAUCUCACAGAUGUGGCAGCAGAGGGGACUGAUGUGGCUACAGCCUGAGAGCUGUAAUAAAAGUACCAUAGAUGGGGUGACUUGAACAACAAACACAUUUCUCACAGCUCUGGAGGCUGGGAAGUCCCAAGAUCAGGGUGCUGGCAGAUUCUGUGUCUGGGAAUGGCCUGCUUUCUGAUUUAUAGAUGGCUGCCUUGUUGCUGUGUCCUCACAUGGUGGAAGGGGUUGGGGAGCUCUCUGGGGUCUCUUAUAUAAGGGCACUAGUCCCAUUGAUAAGGGGUCUAGCCUUUGACCUAAUCACCUCCUAGAGGCCCCACCUCCUAAUACCAUCGCAUUGGGGUUAGGAUUUCAAUAUGACUUUUAGGAGGCCAAAAACAUGCAGUCUGUAACAUUUACCCAUUCACCACUGAAGGGCAUCUUGGUUGCUUCCAGGUACAAUCAGUUAUGAAUAAAGUAGCUAUAAACAUCCAUAUGAAAGUUUUUGUGUAGACAUAAGUUUUCACCUCAUUUGAGUAAAUACUUGCUGGAUCAUUUUGUAAGAAUAUGUCAGUCAGUUAGUUUAUUAUUAAAGUAUAGUUGACAUACAAUGUUAGUUUAGUCUCAGGUGUACAACAGUGAUUCAGAAACAAUUCAGUAGCAAUUCAGUACAUUACUCAGUGCUCACCAUGAUAAGUGUAAUCACUGUCUGUCACCAUGCAAUGUUAUUACAGUACUAGUCAUAUUCCCUAUGGUGUACUUUUUAUCUCUGUGACUUACAUUAUAACUGGAAGUUUGUAUGUCUUAAUCCACUUCAGCUAUUUUGCUUAUUCUUACCACCCCCCACCCCCCACCUUGCAACCAUGUUUGUUCUUUGUAUUAAUGUCUGUUUUGGUUAUUUGUUCAUUUGUUUUUUAGAUUCCAUAUGUAAAUGAAAUCAUAUGGUAUUUCUUUGUCUGACUUAUUUUACUUAGCAUGAUGCCCUCUGGGUCUAUCCAUAUUGUCAAAAGUGGCAAGAUCUCAUUCUUUUUUUAUGGCUGAGUAAUAGUCCAUUGUGUAUAUAUACCACCCCUUUGUUAUCCAUUCAUCUGUGGGUAGACACUUACAGAAGUAAGAGUAUGUUUAGUUUUAUAAGAAGUUACUAGGGGUGCCUGGGUAGCUCAUUCAAUUAAGCAUCUGACUCUUAAUUUUGGUUCAGACAUUGGACUCUGUGUUGACAGCACAGAGCCUGCUUGGGAUUGUCUCUCUCUCCCUGCCCCUUACCUGUGCGUGUUCUCUCUCUCUCUCUCUCUC